UACGUAGGGGGCAAGCGUUGUCCGGAAUUAUUGGGCGUAAAGCGCGCGCAGGCGGCUGUUUAAGUCUGGUGUAUAAACCUGGGGCUCAACUCCGGGUCGCACUGGAAACUGGAUGGCUUGAGUGCAGAAGAGGAGAGUGGAAUUCCACGUGUAGCGGUGAAAUGCGUAGAGAUGUGGAGGAACACCAGUGGCGAAGGCGACUCUCUGGGCUGUAACUGACGCUGAGGCGCGAAAGCGUGGGGAGC
rnacentral:rRNA from 1 species